GAUGAACGCUGGCGGCGUGCCUAAUACAUGCAAGUCGAGCGAACAGAUGAGGAGCUUGCUCCUCUGACGUUAGCGGCGGACGGGUGAGUAACACGUGGAUAACCUACCUAUAAGACUGGGAUAACUUCGGGAAACCGGAGCUAAUACCGGAUAAUAUAUUGAACCGCAUGGUUCAAUAUUGAAAGACGGUUUUGCUGUCACUUAUAGAUGGAUCCGCGCCGCAUUAGCUAGUUGGUAAGGUAACGGCUUACCAAGGCAACGAUGCGUAGCCGACCUGAGAGGGUGAUCGGCCACACUGGAACUGAGACACGGUCCAGACUCCUACGGGAGGCAGCAGUAGGGAAUCUUCCGCAAUGGGCGAAAGCCUGACGGAGCAACGCCGCGUGAGUGAUGAAGGUCUUCGGAUCGUAAAACUCUGUUAUUAGGGAAGAACAAAUGUGUAAGUAACUAUGCACGUCUUGACGGUACCUAAUCAGAAAGCCACGGCUAACUACGUG
rnacentral:rRNA from 1 species